rnacentral:rRNA from 1 species
CGGAUUCAUUGGGCGUAAAGGGUGCGUAGGCGGCGCGGUAAGUCGGGUGUGAAAUCUCGGAGCUUAACUCCGAAACUGCAUUCGAUACUGCCGUGCUUGAGGACUGGAGAGGAGACUGGAAUUUACGGUGUAGCGGUGAAAUGCGUAGAUAUCGUAAGGAAGACCAGUGGCGAAGGCGGGUCUCUGGACAGUUCCUGACGCUGAGGCACGAAGGUCAGGGGAGCAAACGGG